UCAAGUUAACAAGGGCACACGGUGGAUGCCUUGGCACAAGCAGGCGAUGAAGGACGUGGUAAGCUGCGAUAAGCCUCGGGUAGGUGCAAACAACCUUCGAUCCGGGGAUUUCCGAAUGGGGCAACCCGCGGCGGGUAAUGCCGCCGUAUCCUUACGCUGAAUCCAUAGGCGUUUGGAAGCCAACUCGGGGAACUGAACCAUCUCAGUACCCGAAGGAACAGAAAUCAACCGAGAUUCCCCCAGUAGCGGCGAGCGAACGGGGAACAGCCUAAACCGGUCACUCCGCAAGGGGCGACCGGGGUCGUGGGACGGGUCACACGGAGUUACAAAUCUUUUCUAUAGCCGAAUCUUCUGGAAUGUUGAGCCAAAGAAGGUGAAAGCCCUGUACGCGAAAUGGAAAAGACUCCGACCCUGUUCCCGAGUACCACGGAGCACGUGAAACUCUGUGGGAAUCCAGGGGGACCACCCUCUAAGGCUAAAUACUCGCUUGUGACCGAUAGUGAACUAGUACCGUGAGGGAAAGGUGAGAAGAACCCCAGGUGGGGAGUAGCAGAACCUGAAACCGUGUGCUUACAAACAGUCGGAGCCUGGACCAUGCCCUCGGGUAUGGUGUCGGGUGACGGCGUGCCUUUUGCAUAAUGAGCCGGCGAGUUACUGGUGCGUGGCAAGGUUAAGUCGCUUGGCGACGAAGCCGCAGCGAAAGCGAGUCCGAACAGGGCGUUGAGUCACGUGCCGUAGACCCGAAGCCAGGUGAUCUAUCCAUGGCCAGGUUGAAACCCCGGUAAGACGGGGUGGAGGACCGAACGGCAAAGUGUUGAAAAACUUUCCGAUGAGCUGUGGAUAGGGGUGAAAGGCUAAUCAAACCUGGAGAUAGCUGGUUCUCCCCGAUAUGCCUUUAGGGGCAGCCUCGCGUUAAGCUGUACGGGGGUAGAGCACUGGAUGGGCACGGGGUCCUACAAGACUACCAACCCCAACCAAACUCCGAAUACCGUUCAUGUGUUUCGCGGGAGUGAGGCUGCGAGGGAUAAGCUUCGUAGCCGUGAGGGAAACAACCCAGACCAUCAGCUAAGGCCCCAAAGUCAAUGCUAAGUGGCUAAGGAUGUGGGAUCGUUUUGACAGCCAGGAUGUUGGCUUAGAAGCAGCCAUACAUUUAAAGAGUGCGUAAUUGCUCACUGGUCUACAUGGCCCCGCGCCGAUAAUACUUGGGACUAAGCAUUGCGCCGAAGCUAUGGGAUGCUCGCAAGAGCAUCGGUAGGGGAGCGUUCUGUGCCGGGCGAAGGUAUCCCGUGAGGGGUGCUGGACGGCACAGAAGUGAUCAUGCCGGCAUGAGUAGCGAUAACGCAAGUGAGAACCUUGCGCACCGAAAGUCUAAGGUUUCCCGGGGAAGGCCAGUCCGCCCGGGGUUAGUCGGCCCCUAAGCCGAGGCCGAGAGGCGUAGGCGAUGGAAAGCAGGUAAAAUAUUCCUGCACUUGGAGACGGGCGACAAAGAAUCGUGAGGGGGGACGCAGAGGUGAAAGGUCAGCCACCGAUUGGAAAUGGUGGUCGAAGCCUAUAGGAGGACCGGGUAGGCAAAUCCGUCCGGUCUUAACUCUGAAGGGUGAUAGGGAAGUGAGCCUUCGGGCAAGCCAACUGACCCUAAACGUGCUGCCAAGAAAAGCCUCGCACGAGAGUCCGUUUUCAAACCGUACCGCAAACCGACACAGGUAGACGGGGAGAGAAUCCUAAGGUGCACGAGUGAUGCGCGGUCAAGGAACUCGGCCAAUUGUCUCCGUAACUUCGGGAGAAGGAGAGCCUGCGCAAGCAGGCCGCAGAGAAUCGGCCCUGGCGACUGUUUACCAAAAACACAGGUCUCUGCGAACACGUAAGUGGACGUAUAGGGACUGACACCUGCCCGGUGCUGGGAUGUUAAGGGGUGGUGUUAGCGCAAGCGACGCACUAAACCGAAGCACCAGUAAACGGCGGCCGUAACUAUAACGGUCCUAAGGUUGAAUCCGCAGCCUUAGUAAAAUCUGGCUAUAUGCGGGAAACUCCGAGAAUCCCCGGCUACUCGCCGUAUCAACGGCAGUAACAACGCUUGGGGUGCGGACAAUCCGCAGGAAAGAUCGAACCGAAAGCUGGUUCGAAAUCCUCAGAGACUGUACGCCAGACUCCGAAAGGAGAUGAGACAGUCCGACCUGCAUGGCGACAUGCAGAGGGUGGCAGAAAUGACCAUCCCGCCUCAUCCUAUGGUGAGGGGCAACAGAGUGAGCGAAAUUCCUUGUCGGGUAAGUUCCGACCUGCACGAAUGGUGUAACGAUCAGGGCACUGUCUCGACCGCGUGCUCGGCGAAAUUGUAAUUCCGGUGAAGAUGCCGGAUACCCGCAGCUGGACGGAAAGACCCCGUGAACCUUUACUGCAGCUUGCCAUUGGGUUUUGACUCAUCAUGCGUAGGAUAGGUGGGAGGCUUUGAACUGGGAGCUCCGGCUUCCAGGGAGCCAACCUUGAAAUACCACCCUUGGUGUGUUGAAAUUCUAACUUUGCACCGUUAUCCGGUGCUGGGACAGUGGCUGGUGGGUAGUUUGACUGGGGCGGUCGCCUCCCAAAGAGUAACGGAGGCUCCCAAAGGUACCCUCAGGCUGGUCGGUAAUCAGCCGUUGAGUGUAAAUGCAUAAGGGUGCUUGACUGUGAGACACACACGUCGAUCAGGAGCGAAAGCUGGGAUUAGUGAUCUUGUGGUUGGUUGUGGAACCGCCAUGACUUAAAGGAUAAAAGGUACUCCGGGGAUAACAGGCUGAUCUCGCCCGGGAGUUCACAUCCACGGCGAGGUUUGGCACCUCGAUGUCGGCUCAUCGCAUCCUGGGGCUGGAGCAGGUCCCAAGGGUUUGGCUGUUCGCCAAUUAAAGCGGUACGUGAGCUGGGUUCAGAACGUCGUGAGACAGUUCGGUCCCUAUCCACUGUGGGCGUCAGGAUACUUGAGAGGAGCUGUCCUUAGUACGAGAGGACCGGGAUGGACGAACCUCUGGUGCACCAGUUGUCACGCCAGUGGCACCGCUGGGUAGCUAUGUUCGGUAGGGAUAAUCGCUGAAAGCAUCUAAGUGAGAAGCCCCCCUCAAGAUUAGGUAUCCCGCACUUCGAGUGCUGACACCCCCUGAAAGACUAUCAGGUUGAUAGGCCGCAGGUCUACGCACGGUGACGUGCUCAGCCGAGCGGUACUAAUAGGGUGUGCGGCUUGAC
rnacentral:rRNA from 1 species